UGGGGAAUUUUGGACAAUGGGCGAAAGCCUGAUCCAGCAAUGCCGCGUGUGUGAAGAAGGCCUUCGGGUUGUAAAGCACUUUUGUCCGGAAAGAAAUCCUUGGCUCUAAUACAGUCGGGGGAUGACGGUACCGGAAGAAUAAGCACCGGCUAACUACGUGCCAGCAGCCGCGGUAAUACGUAGGGUGCAAGCGUUAAUCGGAAUUACUGGGCGUAAAGCGUGCGCAGGCGGUUUGCUAAGACCGAUGUGAAAUCCCCGGGCUCAACCUGGGAACUGCAUUGGUGACUGGCAGGCUAGAGUAUGGCAGAGGGGGGUAGAAUUCCACGUGUAGCAGUGAAAUGCGUAGAGAUGUGGAGGAAUACCGAUGGCGAAGGCAGCCCCCUGGGCAAUACUGACGCUCAUGCACGAAAGCGUGGGGAGCAAACAGGAUUAGAUACCCUGGUAGUCCACGCCCUAAAACGAUGUCAACUAGUUGUUGGGGAUUCAUUCCUUAGUAACGUAGCUAACGCGUGAAGUUGACCGCCUGGGGAGUACGUCGCAAGAUUAAAACUCAAAGGAAUUG
rnacentral:rRNA from 1 species